UUCAGUUCUGAGAUACUAAAUCUUUUACAGUGUAAACACAUAAAUAUCUGACGAUGGAAGUGUUUAAAAGGUCGUUACCUCAACAACAGUGCAAGUGUAACUAAUAAAGCUAUAAUAUCUUGUUUAAAAUGGAGCUUCUAACCCCUCCUCAAUGUAAGUACUGUUUGAAAACGUAUAGCAAACUUAAAGAGCCUAUUUAUACUGUUUGCACAUGCGAAAACAGACCAAAGUUUGCGCAUGGAAGUUGUUUUAGAGAUUGGUUAAAAACUUACAAAUAUGGUGUGUGUGAAAUAUGCUUAGCAAAAAGUAAACUUGUACGGAAUGGAUAUAAAAAUCUUCGCAAGACGUACUUUUUGCUGCUAUGUUUGUUUUGCUAUAUGCUUGAAUUGUCUGCGUAGUCUAUUUUUAGAUUUGUGAACAUGUUUAUCAGAAGUGUUAAUUUGAUGCAUAAAUGGUUUCAUAGCCGAUUCUAUACGGUUUUUAAUAAAUGUGGGACUACGUGUGUUCUGGUGAAGCGCUUGUCAUAUAAAACAUUUAAUAAACUUGGAAAAUUAGCUUUAUCAAUAUUUUUGUAUUCU
rnacentral:misc_RNA from 1 species